rnacentral:rRNA from 1 species
GAUCAUGGCUCAGGAUGAACGCUGGCGGCGUGCUUAACACAUGCAAGUCGAACGAAGCAUUUAGAACGGAUUACUUCGGUUUGAAGUUCUUUAUGACUGAGUGGCGGACGGGUGAGUAACGCGUGGGUAACCUGCCUUGUACUGGGGGAUAGCAGCUGGAAACGGCUGGUAAUACCGCAUAAGCGCACAAUGUUGCAUGACAUGGUGUGAAAAACCUCUGGUGGUAUAAGAUGGACCCGCG